rnacentral:lncRNA from 1 species
GGUGCGGCACCACUGAGCUACAUCCCCAGCUUGAACUAAACUCUUCUUUCUCACCUGGCCAGUGCUCCAUGCUACAGCUGGAGAAGACAAGGCCCAGAAAGCAAGACCACGGGCAGGGGGCCUGUGACUUCAAGACCGUAGGGACUGUGUGUCUUCCAGAGCUGGGUCCUGGCACAGCACAGGGCUUAGAGAUGCUGUCUGGGGAGCCCUGCAGGCCUGCCCUUCCCCCACCUGGAGCAGAGGUGGGUGAGGCUGGGAAGGAGGGGAGGGGAGUGGUGUUCUUUUUUCUUUCUCAGGCAGAAAUGAGCUCAUGUUUUGUCUAAUCUAAAUUCUGUCAAGCAAGCGAAAAGGAGAGAUACAGAUACACAGAGAGGAGAGAGAGAGAGAGAGAGAGAGAGAGAGAGAGAGAGAGAGAGAGAG